rnacentral:rRNA from 1 species
GUUUUCAUUCUUAUUGAAUAUUAGGUUUUUUAUUACCUUUUGUAUUAGGGUUGAUUAAUGUGGUUUUAUAUUAAAUUAAGGUCUCGGCGAAUAUCGGGCUAUUUUUUGUUUAGGGUCUAGUUGCAUAUAGGUGGUAAAUAAAUUAUAGUUAUGAAAUAUUAUUCAAGAUGUUUUUUAUCUGGUUCUUUAAUAAAUUUAAUUAAUAAUAUUUUUAUUUGGUCUGUGGGCAGGGAUUAGCUUGUUCAUUUUUUAUAUAGGGUUUUGUUGAGUUUUGUUGUUGGGGUUGAUGGUGCCUGGCUAUGUUGAGUUAUAUUGGGCAUUAUUACUUAUUUUAUUAAAUAGUGGUUUAUGUUAGUAUUAGGGUUAUUGUAAAAAUUUUAUUGUGAUGAGAUACUGAUUAUAUUAGUAAUAUUUAAUUUAAGCUAAUUUAUUUGGAGUUAAAAUUUGUUUUUGGAGUUGGUUUGAUUAUUGAGUUAAAUUAGAAUUAAUGAAUUCGGCAAAAUUAUAUUUCUGACUGUUUAGCAAAGACAUUGUUUUUUGUGGGUUUAAAAAAUAAGUUCUGUCCACUGCUAUGGGGUGAAGGACUGCAGUAUUUUGACUGUAUGAAGGUAGCAUAAUCAUUAGCUUUUUAAUUAGGGGCUGGUAUGAAGGUGAAACAGGGAUUUGCUGUUUCUUUUUUAUUGGUUGAAUUUUAUUUUUAUGUGAAAAAUCUUAGUUGAAUAAGUGGGACAAGAAGACCCUAAUAAGUUUUAUUCUUUUUUCUGAUGGGUAUAAAGGGUUAUUGGUGUGAUUUAUGGAUUAGGGGUUAGUUGGGGCGACGGUUUAUAAAACUUAGAUUUAUUUUUAAUUUUAGUUUUAGCGUGGGGUUAGACCUAGUUUGUUUAGAUGGGUGAAAAACUACUGUAGGGAUAACAGCGUAAUUUUAUUUGAGAGUUCUUAUUGACAAUGGA